UGAAGUGUCGUUUAGUUUCUUUAUCUGCCUUUUUGGUUAUGACAAAGGGGGAGAAGUAUACUCUCAAUGAGAGUAGAUUAUACGUUUUACUCAUGUAUGGGAGAGUUUAACCACUCCAAAAUUUGUCUAUCUUUUUUUUUUAUUUUACCACCUCCCUGAGAGAUGCUUUUCCAUUGUCAAAAAGAGGGGGAAUGUGGAACCAUGUGCUUGCAGGUAUAAUCAAGAAGUGAUGCAUGACUCAUGAAGAAAAUGCUUAGCACUUACGAUGACUUGGUUUUGAUGAUGAGAACACUUGACUUGGUUUCAAUAAUAACAACACUUGAAGUCAAGC
rnacentral:lncRNA from 1 species